rnacentral:rRNA from 1 species
UACGUAGGGCGCGAGCGUUGUCCGGAAUUAUUGGGCGUAAAGAGCUCGUAGGCGGUCUGUCGCGUCGGCUGUGAAAACUCGGGGCUCAACCCCGAGCCUGCAGUCGAUACGGGCAGACUAGAGUGCGGUAGGGGAGACUGGAAUUCCUGGUGUAGCGGUGAAAUGCGCAGAUAUCAGGAGGAACACCGGUGGCGAAGGCGGGUCUCUGGGCCGUAACUGACGUUGAGGAGCGAAAGCGUGGGGAGCAAACAGG